rnacentral:rRNA from 1 species
GACGAACGCUGGCGGCGUGCUUAACACAUGCAAGUCGAACGGAAAGGCCCUGCUUUUGUGGGGUGCUCGAGUGGCGAACGGGUGAGUAACACGUGAGUAACCUGCCCUUGACUUUGGGAUAACUUCAGGAAACUGGGGCUAAUACCGGAUAGGAGCUCCUGCUGCAUGGUGGGGGUUGGAAAGUUUCGGCGGUUGGGGAUGGACUCGCGGCUUAUCAGCUUGUUGGUGGGGUAGUGGCUUACCAAGGCUUUGACGGGUAGCCGGCCUGAGAGGGUGACCGGACAGAGGGGGGAAGAAACCGGGCCAGAACGCAAAGGGGGGACAGAGGGGGGGAUGUGGGAAAAAGGGGGGAAAGCGGGAGGCAGAAACCCCGGGGGAGGGAGGAGGGCUUGGGGGUGGAAAACCGUUUGCGCCGGGAAGGAAGGGGGAGGGAAGGGAAUGGAUAAAGAGACACAGGAAAAAAAGGUC